rnacentral:lncRNA from 1 species
AUACUCAGUUCUAAACUGUGCUAAAUUGCAUCUUUUCCAAUAUGUCUACUGUGGCCAGGCCUUGUACUAACAGUUUUCUGCAUUAUUAAUUCCAGUGUGGAAGUUUAUAGCUGGGAGCCAAAGAAACCUGCUCUAAGGAAGAGCGUGCCAGAGCCACCUCUAGCUGUUUCAAGCGUGCAACACAGGUGAAUCGCCUGCACAAGCUGGGGCAAGUUCCCCAGACACCAAGUGAACUAGCAUGAGGUCCAUUUCCAGAGCAUCUGAAAGACAGGGAAUUGGUAGAAGUUGGAGAAACCAAAGCCUUCAAACCUGGCUACAGGACCAAUAUUUUUGCUGUCCCUCACAAGUGGAAGUCAUUGCAAAGAGACUGUUGCCCUUCUGCUCUGGAUGAAGACGUUGUGUUUUCACAUAGCAUCUCAGUUUAUAACAAAAAGGCUUGUGCACAAUGAAUACAAUAGCAGCUGAGAAACAGAGCAGAAAGGUUUGGGAGGCUGCAUUCAGCUUGAA